rnacentral:rRNA from 1 species
AGUUUGAUCCUGGCUCAGGACGAACGCUGGCGGCGUGCUUAACACAUGCAAGUCGAACGGAAAGGCCCUGCUUUUGUGGGGUGCUCGAGUGGCGAACGGGUGAGUAACACGUGAGUAACCUGCCCUUGACUUUGGGAUAACUUCAGGAAACUGGGGCUAAUACCGGAUAGGAGCUCCUGCUGCAUGGUGGGGGUUGGAAAGUUUCGGCGGUUGGGGAUGGACUCGCGGCUUAUCAGCUUGUUGGUGGGGUAGUGGCUUACCAAGGCUUUGACGGGUAGCCGGCCUGAGAGGGUGACCGGCCACAUUGGGACUGAGAUACGGCCCAGACUCCUACGGGAGGCAGCAGUGGGGAAUAUUGCACAAUGGGCGGAAGCCUGAUGCAGCAACGCCGCGUGCGGGAUGACGGCCUUCGGGUUGUAAACCGCUUUCGCCUGUGACGAAGCGUGAGUGACGGUAAUGGGUAAAGAAGCACCGGCUAACUACGUGCCAGCAGCCGCGGUGAUAC